UUGUCCAGAGUCUCGGGGCUCUGUGCUGCUGGCCUCUAUUUCUAAACAUGGAACAGAAAAGCGGUGAGUUAUCCUGGAGUCAGAGAGAAAGCGAGAAAAUCUUCUGAGAAUGGUGCUGUAAGAGAAGAGGCACCUGCAGCUUGCCUGUUUUAACUGCUCCAGUCGCACGUUUUACAACUGGCUCUGAACCUACACUGAGAUUUCAACUGCCUCCAAAUUGUUUUGGCUAAUAAAAACUAAGGAGAUUUGCAAGAAACUCCAGAUGCAUUUGAAACUGGGGAAUUGCACAGCAUGAAGGCGGAUGAAACUUAAUUCAAAUAAACAUAAGACUGGGGCGUUUGAAAUUCUAUGAUCCAUAAAAGAACACCUUGCAAGAAACUCCAAAAAAUGUCAAAACAAAAACAAGAAACUGAGG